CAACCCCUCACUCUGGAAGACCAGUCACUGAGCCGCUAACUGAGAGGACAAGGUCCCCCCUCCACUUCCAAGGAAACUACACAAACCAGAGGAACCAUCUGCAGUUCCCACAAGGGAGGAAGGGCAGUUCAAUGGAGGACCGUCUGCAGCAUGAAUUCCUCCCCAUCCUUUAAGGUCAGCUCCCAGCAGGCAGACAUCACACCUUCCUGGAGACGGCCAGUCUAUUUUACCCCUUGUGUAGGGCCCUCACCACUUCUGCUGGGUAUUCGAAUAAUUAAUGGACAAUUCUCACUGUCCCGUUUCAGGAGUGAGCUCUUUGAGGGUAGGAGUGUGGACCAGGGAUGUAGCAGGUGCUCAACAAAUUUUUAAUUAAAAAAAAGAAACAAAGUCUUACUGAUUCUUUACACUGCAAUGGCAGGAGGAGCAAAAUGUAAGCUAGAGGUUGGACUAUGGAUACGACAUUUUC
rnacentral:lncRNA from 1 species